UAGGGAAUCUUCCGCAAUGGGCGAAAGCCUGACGGAGCAACGCCGCGUGAGUGAAGAAGGAUUUCGGUUCGUAAAGCUCUGUUGUUAGGGAAGAAUGAUUGUGUAGUAACUAUACACAGUAGAGACGGUACCUAACCAGAAAGCCACGGCUAACUACGUGCCAGCAGCCGCGGUAAUACGUAGGUGGCAAGCGUUGUCCGGAAUUAUUGGGCGUAAAGCGCGCGCAGGCGGUUUAAUAAGUCUGAUGUGAAAGCCCACGGCUCAACCGUGGAGGGUCAUUGGAAACUGUUAAACUUGAGUGCAGGAGAGAAAAGUGGAAUUCCUAGUGUAGCGGUGAAAUGCGUAGAGAUUAGGAGGAACACCAGUGGCGAAGGCGGCUUUUUGGCCUGUAACUGACACUGAGGCGCGAAAGCGUGGGGAGCAAACAGGAUUAGAUACCCUGGUAGUCCACGCCGUAAACGAUGAGUGCUAAGUGUUGGUCUCAUAAGAGAUCAGUGCUGCAGCUAACGCAUUAAGCACUCCGCCUGGGGAGUACGACCGCAAGGUUG
rnacentral:rRNA from 1 species